rnacentral:rRNA from 1 species
GACGAACGCUGGCGGCGUGCUUAACACAUGCAAGUCGAACGGAAAGGCCCUGCUUGCAGGGUACUCGAGUGGCGAACGGGUGAGUAACACGUGGGUUAUCUGCCCUGCACUUCGGGAUAAGCCUGGGAAACUGGGUCUAAUACCGGAUAGGAGCCAUUUUUAGUGUGAUGGUUGGAAAGUUUUUUCGGUGUAGGAUGAGCUCGCGGCCUAUCAGCUUGUUGGUGGGGUAAUGGCCUACCAAGGCGGCGACGGGUAGCCGGCCUGAGAGGGUGGACAGCCACAUUGGGACUGAGAUACGGCCCAGACUCCUACGGGAGGCAGCAGGGGGGAAUAUUGCACAAUGGGCGCAAGCCUGAUGCAGCGACGCCGCGUGGGGGAUGACGGCCUUCGGGUUGUAAACUCCUUUCGCUAGGGACGAAGCUUUUUGUGACGGUACCUAGAGAAGAAGCACCGGCUAACUACGUG